UACGUAGGGUGCAAGCGUUAAUCGGAAUUACUGGGCGUAAAGCGUGCGCAGGCGGUUCGCUAAGACCGAUGUGAAAUCCCCGGGCUUAACCUGGGAACUGCAUUGGUGACUGGCGGGCUAGAGUAUGGCAGAGGGGGGUAGAAUUCCACGUGUAGCAGUGAAAUGCGUAGAGAUGUGGAGGAAUACCGAUGGCGAAGGCAGCCCCCUGGGCCAAUACCGACGCUCAUGCACGAAAGCGUGGGGAGCAAACAGG
rnacentral:rRNA from 1 species